AGCGAACGCUGGCGGCAGGCUUAACACAUGCAAGUCGAGCGCCCCGCCAGGGGAGCGGCAGACGGGAGGGUAACACGUGGGAACAUACCUUUUGGUUCGGAACAACUGAGGGAAACUUCAGCUAAUACCGGAUAAGCCCUUACGGGGAAAGAUUUAUCGCCGAAAGAUUGGCCCGCGUCUGAUUAGCUAGUUGGUGAGGUAACGGCUCACCAAGGCGACGAUCAGUAGCUGGUCUGAGAGGAUGAGCAGCCUCACUGGGACUGAGACACGGCCCAGACUCCUACGGGAGGCAGCAGUGGGGAAUAUUGGACAAUGGGGGCAACCCUGAUCCCGCCAUGCCGCGUGAGUGAUGCAGGCCUUAGGGUUGUAAAGCUCUUUUGCCCGGGAAGAUAAUGACGGUACCGGGAGAAUAAGCCCCGGCUAACUUCGUG
rnacentral:rRNA from 1 species